GAUGAACGCUGGCGGCGUGCCUAAUACAUGCAAGUCGAGCGAACAGAUGAGGAUCUUGCUCCUCUGACGUUAGCGGCGGACGGGUGAGUAACACGUGGAUAACCUACCUAUAAGACUGGGAUAACUUCGGGAAACCGGAGCUAAUACCGGAUAAUAUAUUGAACCGCAUGGUUCAAUAGUUAAAGACGGUUUUGCUGUCACUUAUAGAUGGAUCCGCGCCGCAUUAUCUAGUUGGUAAGGUAACGGCUUACCAAGGCGACGAUGCGUAGCCGACCUGAGAGGGUGAUCGGCCACACUGGAACUGAGACACGGUCCAGACUCCUACGGGAGGCAGCAGUAGGGAAUCUUCCGGAAUGGGCGAAAGACUGACGGAGCAACGCCGAGUGAGUGAUGAAGGUCUUCGGAUCGUAAAACUCUGUUAUUAGGGAAGAACAAAUGUGUAAGUAACUAUGCACGUCUUGACGGUACCUAAUCAGAAAGCGACGGCUAACUACGU
rnacentral:rRNA from 1 species